CCUACGGGUGGCAGCAGUGGGGGAUAUUGCACAAUGGGGGGAACCCUGAUGCAGCGACGCCGCGUGGGUGAAGAAGCGCCUCGGCGCGUACAGCCCUGUCAGCAGGGAAGAAAAUGACGGUACCUGACCAAGAAGCCCCGGCUAACUACGUGCCAGCAGCCGCGGUAAUACGUAGGGGGCAAGCGUUAUCCGGAUUUACUGGGUGUAAAGGGGGCGCAGACGGCAAUGCAAGCCAGGAGGGAAAGCCCGGGGCCCAACCCCGGGACUGCUCUUGGAACUGCAUGGCUGGAGUACAGGAGGGGCAGGCGGAAUUCCUAGUGUAGCGGUGAAAUGCGUAGAUAUUAGGAGGAACACCGGUGGCGAAGGCAGCUUACUAAACUGCCACUGACAUUGAUGCUCGAAAGUGUGGGUAUCAAACAGGAUUAGAUACCCGUGUAGUC
rnacentral:rRNA from 1 species